rnacentral:rRNA from 1 species
GACGAACGCUGGCGGCGUGCUUAACACAUGCAAGUCGAACGGAAAGGCCCUGCUUUUGUGGGGUGCUCGAGUGGCGAACGGGUGAGUAACACGUGAGUAACCUGCCCUUGACUUUGGGAUAACUUCAGGAAACUGGGGCUAAUACCGGAUAGGAGCUCCUGCUGCAUGGUGGGGGUUGGAAAGUUUCGGCGGUUGGGGAUGGACUCGCGGCUUAUCAGCUUGUUGGUGGGGUAGUGGCUUACCAAGGCUUUGACGGGUGGCCGGCCUGAGAGGGUGACCGGCCACAUUGGGACUGAGAUAGGGCCCAGACUCCUACGGGAGGCAGCAGUGGGGAAUAUUGCACAAUGGGCGGAAGCCUGAUGCAGCAACGCCGCGUGCGGGAUGACGGCCUUCGGGUUGUAAACCGCUUUCGCCUGUGACGAAGCGUGAGUGACGGUAAUGGGUAAAGAAGCACCGGCUAACUACGUG